GUGCUGAAUGAUCCCAGAUGGAAUAAAUUCAAUUGGUGCUACACAUGUGAAGAGCUCUGAAUGAGGAACGCAGCAACUUCUUGAAAUAUUCACUUGAACUCGUCACUGUCUCAAAGUCAGGAACCAGAAUCUAAAGAACCUUCAACUGCAGCAAGGAGAAUGAACAAUGGUCCAUUGAGUAACCACGAAGAACAGAGAGAACAGAGCAGAACAUUUCAGCGAGUUGGGGUUUUUCCAGUCAGCCAGACCUGGCAGAAAGCAACUGAGAGGAUGUGGAGGACUGGCUGAAUCCUAGAGGAAUCCACAAGGAAUCCCUUCCCACGCCUGGAAAAGGGAAGAGCAGGGACAGGUGCUGCAGUCACCUGAGUGAAAAAAAAAAAAAAAAACAACAGCUUUGGGAAUGUCAGAGGAGAAAACAGCCCAACUUGAAUUCGUGGAAAUUUCUGGAAACAAAUAAUGAAACAAAGUUUUCUUUUGUGCAUGGGAAAUAAUGAAAUGAUAAGUGGAGGCCAAGAAUGAUUUGCCAGGAACAAAUCCUGCCCAGCCAGGCUCAUUUCCUCCCCUGACAAGUAGCAGCUCUUAUGGACAAUAGAUAUUGCAUAUCUUGACUGGAGCGAGGCUUUCAGCACAGCCUCCGCUGAGGGAACUAAAAUGAAACCAUUGUAAGGUGAACUCAGCUGUUUGAAACAUCAAAAACCCUCCAAGAGGGAUUGUUGUUGGUGUGGAAAAAGGAUGGAAAGCGUUUUUGCAGAUGCCCUGCACUGGGUUCGUGCCAUUCCCUGUUUUCCUUGUGUUUUGGAGGAUGAAGGAUUGAGUGGGAAAGUUCUUCCAGGAUUAACAUCUUGAUCCUUGAAGAAAUGGUGUGAAAACAGCAAGAUUCAGUGCAGGUGUAAACUCAGUUUUAGAUAAGAAUAAACCCCCCAGCAGAAGGAGCCAGCAAGGCAAAAAAACCUGGACAAAAAUCUGGGGGGAUUUUGGAAGAGCUUGAGCUCCCUGGGAAUUAACAGCGGUGUGGGAAAGCAAGGAUUGUCCUGAAAUGUCUAAACAGGCUGGUUGGGAUGUGUGGAAUAAUAAUUCCUGCACUCCCACUCAGCCCUGGGGAGGCCUGAAAGUGAAAAAUGAAUGAUUCCCUUUGGCCACUGAACUCGAGAAACCCCAGCGUGGUCUCCAACUUCCUCACGAGGCCAAUUAGGGAAAGCCCUGAGAGCACAAAAAGGUGCUGAAAGUCUGUAAAAAUGCUGACCCUGGAGGGAAGUCUCAAAGAUCUGGGUUUGGUUGUUUUAAUCUAGAGAAAAUAGGACAGAGAAGAAACAUGAUAAGAGUCUUCAAAUAUGUAACAGGUAGAAGGCAGCAGGAAACUCUCAAUGCUUGGAGGGGAGCAGGGAGCUUAAACAAUAUCCAGAAUUACAGUUUCUGCUGGAUUUGAGGGAAAACUUCCUAGUCAGGGAGUUAAGGAAGCCUUGGAGGGCACUGAGGGCAUUAAAUGCAGCUGGAAAAAGCACCACAGAUUAUUGGUGUGCUCAGGGAGCCACGAGGGAAGAAGCUUUGAGGCAAAUGUACCUAAAAAGCUGCAGAAAUGGAUUUGAAAGGCUCAGGUGACAUCUGGAGCUGGAGACAUCCUGAGGGUGCUGUCCAUGGGUGAAGCACCUCUCAGCUCCCAGGAAGUUCUUUCCAGCAACCCCAAAGCAGGAAAAAAAAGAGAAAAAUCAGCUCUAAGAUGCAAACACUGAAAGGUUUCUGAGUCCCAGAUAAUUUCUUGAGGUCUCUUUGUGCCUUCAGUGACUGCAAACAGAAACAGACUGUGCCAGAAUGGCCGAAUUUCUGCUUCAGUGGUUUCCUGUGCAGGUGAGAAAAAGGAUGUUAAGCUCUGUUGGUGCCUUGUGCAAAAAUAAAUAAAUAAAGACAGAGAAAGAAAUAAAUAAAUAAACCAAG